rnacentral:tRNA from 1 species
GCGAAAGUGGCGGAAUUGGUAGACGCCCUGGAUUUAGGUUCCAGUGCCGCAAGGCGUGGGGGUUCGAGUCCC